rnacentral:rRNA from 1 species
AUUGAACGCUGGCGGCAUGCCUUACACAUGCAAGUCGAACGGUAACAGGUCUUCGGAUGCUGACGAGUGGCGAGCGGGUGAGUAAUACAUCGGAACGUGCCUAGUAGUGGGGGAUAACUACUCGAAAGAGUGGCUAAUACCGCAUGAGAUCUACGGAUGAAAGCAGGGGAUCGCAAGACCUUGUGCUACUAGAGCGGCCGAUGGCAGGUUAGGUAGUUUGUGGGAUAAAAGCUUACCAAGCCGACGAUCUGUAGCUGGUCUGAGAGGACGAUCAGCCACACUGGGACUGAGACACGGCCCAGACUCCUACGGGAGGCAGCAGUGGGGAAUUUUGGACAAUGGGCGCAAGCCUGAUCCAGCAAUGCCGCGUGCAGGAUGAAGGCCUUCGGGUUGUAAACUGCUUUUGUACGGAACGAAAAGCCCUGGGUUAAUACCCUGGGGUCAUGACGGUACCGUAAGAAUAAGCACCGGCUAACUACGUGCCAGCCGCCGCAGUAACAC